UCCUUCAUUCCACCGGAGUCUGUCAGGCUUAAACGACAGAUUUCGGGGGAUGAAGUGCA
rnacentral:pre_miRNA from 1 species